CACCGCCCGUCACAUCACGAAAGUGGGUUGUACUAGAAGUCUGCGCGCUAACCCGCAAGGGAGGCAGCGGCCCAAAAUAUAACUCAUGAUUGGGGUG
rnacentral:rRNA from 1 species